GGUCUUCUUUGGUGAUCUCAUCGACUGACUUCACCUCAUACUGGCUCCUCCUGGAAAUGUGGCUCUUCCUCUUUUUCCGUCCCUUACCAACAUGUUCAUCAUCCACCUGCCCAAUCACAACCAACAGAUUGCAGGAAAACUCCACAGUGCACCUUUACGCCACAAGACAACUUCUUAGAUCAAUUUUCACACUUUACACCAAAGGGAGCACCACUCCAUCAGUGGACAUCCUUGAUCACUAAGUGAAUGUUGUGGGAACAAUGAUUUGUAGUUCAGCUGUGUCACUAAGCAGCUUGCCUGGAUCACCAGAGUUGAGGCUGGCUGGCAUUGAAGUAAACUUAUCUUCUUGAGUUUACACUGGCAGAUACCCAAGGACGUCCUUAUCACUACCAGCCUGUGCAACUUCUCAGCCAUGGCAGGGCAAAACCAAUGACAAAGUAAAGUGGAAAAGGAACAAACACUUAACCCUUGUGCUUUGUUGACAUUGGCUUUACUUCUUCAUUGUUUGGCAUCCCAGAGAACCUGAACAGAAUGCUGUAUGUGUAAUAAAUAAAUAAAUAUUCAUUCAUUCAAUAA